rnacentral:tRNA from 1 species
UAGAAGGUAGUAUAUAUGGUAGUACUAAAAGUUUUGGGCUUUUUAGUUCAAGUUCGAUUCUUGGCCUUCUAG